UUGUGUUGUUCCGGUGUUACUCCCACAUGGUCAAUUAUUCACUGGAAAGAUUUCGAAUGCUUAUAUAGAGCCAAGGAACUAAAUAAUACUUUCCGACUAGUCUUUUUAAGUGAGGUCCUAGAUUGUUACAAAUAGUAUCAAAAUUGAUGCGGCUCAUAGCCUAUGUGGAUUAGGGAUACUACGGCACGGAAUAAUGCAGGCGAUCCAAUGCAGCCUAACAAGUGUUCUGUGAAGAAAGUUGUGGCUUAGUCCCAUAAAACACAACCUUUAUCAGUGACUCCUGAGGAAUUUGUUAUACAAAACUCUAUCUUGACUUAGUCAAGCUUAAAGCUCGGAUUGGCAGCCCUUUCAUAUAUAGACAGGAACAUGUGUUAUGAUCUACAUUACUGAAAUACAGCAC
rnacentral:lncRNA from 1 species